GCGUCGGUAGUGCAUUAGUUCAGCACGCGCUCUCGGAAAGAGUGAGAUCUGGGUUCGAAUCCCGAUUGACGCA